UUGUUAGAGAGUUUAAGCAUGGCAUAACAGAAGUGGAGGAAAGUGGAAACAAAUUCAAAGUACUAAAAGUGAUAACAGGGCUUUUUGGUGGAAAGUGGAAACUAGGCGUGUAUGUUCCAACAGAACUUUGUUGUAAUAUUUAAUUACUACCACUACGCGUUUGACCUGCCAAAAGGAAAGACUUGCCAAAAUAAUCGUCGAGAGAGAAUCAGUGUUUUGUUGUGAUUUCUUUCUCAAGCUAUUCUUUUUCUUACAAACUAAGAAACUAAUGGAGGGUAUUCAAUUUCAGAGAGAAAAUCUGCUAUUCCUCUCAAAUUCUGUGAAGCUGUUGUUACAAAACCGUGUUUUUACUGAGUUCGCCGAUAACUCCAGGAGGCCCAGGUAUGAUUUUUCACUUUUGAAGAAAAGACUGUUGGAUCUUCAAGAUGUAUUGCUUUGUCAUGAUCUGGAGGCACUCAUCCCCAUUCCAGCUAUCAACCUAUCGCUGGAUUCGCUCAGAUAUGAUGUCUUUCAUCUUACUACUUUCUUCGACAAAAUCAAUUUUUCAUUGAGGUAUGAUCCCCUUAAUAUUAAGCUGCUCAAAAAUCUUACUCGUUUAAAUCAUGCAACUGAUGUGAUUAAUUAUAAAACGAAAAGAUUAAUUGAAAUAUCAUUGAGCUUGAGUUCAGGAGAACAACUAGCUGAAUUAAGUCUUUCCAAUUUUAGUUUGGAUGAUGAAUCUUCUAUUUAUGGAAGAGACGCUGAUAUUCAGAAACUUAAACACCUUUUGUUGUCUAGUGAUGAUGAUGAUGGUAAAAUAAGAGUGAUUUCCAUUGUUGGUAUGGGAGGGAUUGGUAAAACAACCCUUGCUAAACACCUUUACAAUCAUCCUCAAGUUAAGGCCAAAUUUCAGGUAAAAGUAUGGGCAGAUUUCUCAGAGCAUGUUGAUGAUUUCUCAAAUUAUGGGCAGAUUUUUAAAACCAUUCGUGAAUCUAUUACUUCACAAACAACCAGAAAUGAAACAACUGACAUCAAUACCAUUUACUCAAAACUUUUGCUAGUACUUGAUGGUGUUUGGAACCCAAUAUCUGUCAAUUUGACAACCUUACUGAUGGAUAUCUUCAGUGCUGGGGAAACAGGAAGUAAGGUCAUUGUCACCACUCGAGAUGAAAGAAUUGCAAUAUCCAUGAAUACCUUUUUUUCUGUCCACUAUCUGAAACCGUUGGAAGUUCAAGAUUGCUGGUCCUUAUUUUCCAAAUAUGCAUUUGGACCAUUUCACAACCGACAACUAUUCCAUCUUGAAGAUAUCGGUAGGGAAAUUUCUAAAAAGUGUGAUGGAUUACCAUUAGCUGCAGUAGCAUAUGGGGCUCUUCUUCGCAUCUUAUUGUUCUCAAAGGACUGGAAUUAUAUGCUGGAAAGUAAUGUUCGGGAUGUAGUUUAUGAGGUGCACGCUUCUCUCGAAUUGAGCUACAAUUUUCUUUCAGAUCCAUUAAAACGGUGUUUUCGAUAUUGUUCAAUUUUUCCAAAGAAGUCCAUCUUAGAAAAAAAGACGGUAGUUCAGUUGUGGAUUGCAGAAGACUUACUUCCAACAUCGUCCAAAGAUCAGGAAAAAAUUGGAGAAGAAUAUUUUGAUGAACUAGUAUCAAGGUCAUUGAUACAUCGGCGAUCUAUUGGUGACAAGGAAAGAAACUUUGAAAUGCACAACUUAAUCCAUGAUGUGGCUACAGUGGUUUCAUCUCCAUAUUGUAUCAAUAUGAACAUACAUAACCUACAUGAUAGGGUGCAUACCUUAUCAUACAAUAGAGAGGCAUAUGAUUCAUAUGAUAAAUUUUAUAAAUUAUACAAAUUAAACGGCCUGCGUACUUUUGUAGCAUUACCAUUACAAGAACAAUUGCCUCUUUGUUUGCUAUCAAAUAAGGUAGUACAUGACUUGCUGCCAACAAUGAUACAAUUACGCGCGUUGUCUCUGUCAAGCUACAAAAGUAUCACCAAGGUUCCUGACUCUAUUGGAAAUUUGUUAUACAUGCAGUACUUAAAUCUUUCUCACACUAAUAUUGAAAGGUUGCCUUCUGAAAUAUGCAAGCUUUACCGUCUGCAGUUCUUGUUGUUGGCAGGCUGUAAAAGGUUCACUGAAUUGCCGAAGGACAUGGGAAAAUUGAUUAAUCUGCGCUACCUUGACGUUAGUAACACCGCAUUGAGGGAGAUGCCCGUACAAAUAGCCACAUUAGUAAAUAUCCACACUUUGUCUGACUUUGUUAUCAGCAAACAUAAUGGUGGAUUGAAUAUUGCACAUCUAGGAAAAUUUCUCCACCUACAUGGAAAACUUUCAAUCUCACAGCUACAAAAUGUUAAUGAACCCUUUGAAGUAGAUCGAGCCAAUAUAAAGAUGAAAGAACAAAUAGACGAGUUAGCUUUGGAAUGGGAUUGUGAUAGUACUACUUUAGAUUCACAAAUUCAAAUUGUUGUGCUUGAAAAGUUGCGACCCUCAACAAAUUUGAAAAGUCUUACCAUCAAAGGCUAUGGUGGAAUCAGCUUUCCGAAUUGGUUGGGUGAUUCUUUAUUUAGCAACAUGGUGUAUUUAAGGAUCUCGAACUGUAAUGAUUGUUUAUGGCUUCCACCCCUUGGAAAAUUGGGAAAUUUGAAAGAACUCGUUAUUGAAGGGAUGCACUCAGUGGAGACAAUUGGUAUUGAGUUCUAUGGAAGUGGUGAUUCUUUAUUUCAACCAUUUCCCUCUUUGGGGAGUUUACACUUUGAGAAUAUGCAAGAGUGGGAGGAAUGGGACUUGAUUGGAUGUAUGCCUACAAUGUUUCCUAGUCUAAAAACUUUAUUGCUAAGUAAGUGCCCGAAACUGACAGUAGGAAACCUAACUGACAAAUUUUCUUCCUUAACUAAACUUGAGUUAAGAGAAUGUCCUUUACUGGUUCAAUCAAUGCCAUUAUUUGAUCAUGUAUUCAGGCAAUUGAUGCUGCCUUUGAACUCUCUUCAACAGCUGACCUUAGACGGCAUUUCAUCUUCAUUGUCUUUUCCAAGAGACGGUCUAGCAAAAACCUUGAAAUUUCUCAUAAUAACUAAUUGUGAAAAUCUAGAGUUCCUUCCUCAUGCAUACUUGUCCAAUUACACAUCGCUUGAAGAAUUGAAAAUAUCUUAUAGCUGCAAUUCAAUGACAUCAUUUACCUUGGGUGCUCUCCCUGUCCUCAAGAGUCUGUUUAUUGAGGGUUGUAACAAUCUGAAAUCAAUAUCAAUUGCAGAAGAUGUGUCACUAAAGAGUCUCUCAUUUCUUAGAAGCAUCAAAAUAUGGGAUUGUAAUGAAUUGGAGUCAUUUACCCCAGGUGGAUUGGCCACUCCAAAUCUUCUCUACAUUGCAAUAUGGAAGUGUGAGAAGCUUCAUUCACUGCCAGAAGCAAUGAACAAUCUAGCCGGCCUUCAAGAAAUGGAAAUUGAUAAUCUACCAAAUCUUCAAUCUUUUGUCAUAGAUGAGUUGCCUGGUAGUUUACAGAAACUGUCUGUUGGCUCUGUUGGUGGGAUUAUAUGGAAUACCGAGCCAACUUGGGAACAUCUCACUUGUCUUUCAGGUUUGCGAAUUAACGGUGAUGAUACGGUGAACACGUUGAUGGGGCCAUUGCUACCUACAUCACUUGUAAAACUGUGCAUUUGUUGUCUUAAUGAUACAAGCAUUGAUGAGAAGUGGCUUCAGCAUCUCACUUCUCUCCAAAACCUUGAGAUUAUUAACGCUCCCAAACUCAAGUCGUUGCCAAAGAAAGGAUUUCCUUCCUCACUUUCAGUACUAAGUGUGACUCGCUGUCCAUUACUAGAAGCAAGUUUGCGGAAAAAGCGGGGGAAAGAAUGGCGUAAGAUUGCUCACAUUUCCUCAGUAGUUAUUAAUGACGAAUUGAUCACAUGAGUCUUGUUCGAAUCUACCAAGGGCUUCAAGGGUAAUUGAUGGCUUGCACGAAGAUGGCAGCAGCGACAUAACAUCUCUUUCUGUCAGGAGCAGAUGAGAAGGAGAAAUACCAAUAUUGGCUUGAACAGAGAGUAUCAUGCAGGAUUUAGAAAUCUGCUGUUUUAGCAAAACUAGUGAUUUUGGCAUCAAUUGUGUUGGAAGGAGCUUGUUAAUGAUGCCACUCAAAAUUGCUUCAGUUAAUGCUGUGGACUAUCAAACUUAAUUUAGUCCCUCUCUGACACAUGAAUUUCAAAUAAAUUUGUAGCCACCUUGGAAAUCUUAGUUUCGUAUUUUUGGUUAUAGUUUUAAUUGGUUAUCUUACAGUUCUAAUAUAGAUAAAUCACUAGUUUCAUCAAUGGCUUGUAAUUGAACCUAAAUCAUACAUUUACUCGUGGUGAACUAUGUUAAUUUUCAAUGACUCCUACUGGGCCUUGAGUUUCUUCUUUUUGACCCUCAUGGCAUCACCAAAAGGAAGUGUAAAACUAGUGUAUGUUGUAUGCAAUUCAUGACAUGCUUUCUAUUCUGUUCAUGUUCUUUCUGUAUGUAUGAAAUUACUUUAUGCUACUAUAAAGAUAAAAUAUUUUAUUUUAGCAUCACAGGGUUAAAAGCAGUCCAGAAUAUGUUUUCUAAAAUAAAUUCAAAUAAGUUAUAAAAUAAAUUUGUGUAUGGAAUUUAUUCUAAUGCAUUAUAAUUAUUUGUUUUCACCAGCUUUUAAAUCACAAUUAUAAAGUCUAAUAGUUGGAUUUCACUGCAGCUACCACAUUCAGAACAUGCAGAAAUGAUCAAACUGUGGCCUAACUCAAUAUGAAGAUUGACUUGUGUGUUAACAUUACUGCCAUUUUUUCUUGAAAGUCAGUUAGGCUGAUAGGUUUUCUCCACAAAGUAGAAGAUUCUGAAAUGCACCGUGACACGUAGAUGUGGGUUUAUAACAUUGAAGUUUGUGUGGUUUUGUUUAGAUAUUUCCUGUUUGUUGUGAUACAAUAAUAAAACUAAAGGAAGCAACAGCAGGGAUGGUGGUGAGUUGCUUAGUUUGGAUGAUGGAAGCGGAAGAGGAGUAGGAGAGAAGAAGAAGUUGAAGAACUUAAGAUAAGAUUUUGAAAUGUAUCAUAUGGCAAGUUAGGAGAAUCAAAAUCCAUAUGGCAAAUUUCAAACAAACAAGUCAGAAGUUUAAGACUCCAAUAUGGCGACUUUCAAACAGCUAUAACUGUCUUCAAUAGCUCCAAUCUUAACCGAGAUGUCAAGGCAAGCAAAUCAUUUUCCUAGAGGUAUCCUCAACAACAUCAACAAUAUUGUAGCACCUAGACUAGGGUGAGGAGCUUGCAGCAAUAUCUGAUCGUCAACAGGCCACGACAUGCAAUGCAACAACGUCACUAAUUUACACCUUAUUUGUCUGCAGCAGCUUUCGGUUCCGCAGCUUGUUCAGUGAUAAAAGUUGGCCCAACAUGGAAUGGUGUGCACUCGACUUGGGUGACUAGCAUAAUCACAUAGUCAGAAGUCAAUUCCCAGUACUAUUAACCUGAGUCCCGAUUUGAUGACAUGUUGACGGAUUUGAAGGCAAUAAUGACAGUAUUAACGAUCUAAUGUUCGAUAAUGUAAAAUCGCUGUCCAAGAGCUCCUCAUUCAAGUUUACUCGGUUUAAUAUACCUCACCAUGAAAAACCAACUUUCUUCAUCGGUACAAAAGCAAAGGCUUUCGUAGACCAAUAAGGUGCAUGUUGGUGCAUAUGAGGAUGAGCAAAUGGCGUUUGAUCUGCCCCAACAAUCUUGUAAGCCACUAGCUUAGCUUAGCAUUUGAUGUGACAUUAGUGAUGUAGGUAGUCUGCAGUUUGUUUUAUACCUUUUGUACUCAAAAUUUAGAUAUCAGAUGCACACUGCCCUUAAGAAAAAGUAUUGAAAACAUAAUAGUAUCGAUAAUGAUUUUUUAUAUAUAUGAAAUUUUUUUACAUCAUUGCACAGACAAUCGAAAUAUCAUACAUGGAGCGAUAGCCGACAACAUAUAUUCUCUGUUUUGGCCAUGUCCAUGUUGACAAUGUUUACAUGUUAAAAUUUUAUGGCACUUUAAAAUGAUGAUUUUGGUGAAUUUGAUGUUAAAAUCUAUCAAAAGCUUGAAGGAAAUGGACCUAUUUGAAUCGAGAAGGAAGAAAAUUCCUACUCUUUUGAAAACAUA